CCAUCUGGUGCGUGCAGUGCCAUCAUGUUCCAAACCCACAGCAUCGAAUUCUCCUCGCUCUUGGCCUCUCUCGGCUCUCCGGUCUGCGCUCUGGGCCUCUGCCUCUUGGCUCUUUGAUAGAUAGUUCAGAUUGAGAUCAAAUCUGAAUAUCUGGAUGAUCUCCUGGAUGGCCGGAUGAGAAUGAGGAUGACUGGAUGAGUCUAUUUGGGGGCUACCAACUGUUUCCCUUCCAGUCCACUUGGAGGCUACCAACGACCUGUCUGCCUCCUUGAGAUCUUGAGGAUUAGAGAGACAUGGUUAGAAAACUUUUCGUACCUGGGUGAGCAGACGAAUAAUGGGUAUUCGAACUCAUGGAGCAGGAGGGUCACGACGCGGCGACCGUCAGCACUGUUGCUCUCGCCGACGGGGACCUCUCACCGGAAGAAUCACGUGGCGUGGAGAAGAGCGGGGAUCCCUCAUAAACUUAUUGAAGAAUAUCGAUUUUCUUGGUGUUUCUCUUAAUUAACGCGAAUCAUUACUCUUUUCCUUCUGUUGUAGAAUAGCCCUCCUUUUCUGGGUGUAGGAUUCUUCUUUUUUUGUGUCUUCAGGGUAAUUCUUGGCGUUUCCUUUUUCUGGUUCCAGGAUUCUUUUUUUUGUCUUCAGGGUAAUUCUUGGUGUGAACCCCUGCCCUGGAGUGAUUCAUGAGUGUAUGUAAAUAUCAGAAAAUUUUCCGCGGAGUAACUGUACAGUUGUAAGCCCACUCUUGUACUCCUGAUCAUGAAUGAUAACAUGGGAAUUUCAAAAUAGUGUCCAAUGUUUCAUCGUUGUUGGUUCUAUUGUUGAUGUGCCCAGUAUCACUUAUGGUGUGUUUGGUUGGAUGUACAAGGAGGGAUGAAAGGGAGCGACCAGUUUUUAUAGUGUUUGGAUGAGAGUCACGUGGUGGCGAGAUAAACAUAUAGUGGUGCCGUGAUUCCAAAAAAUCGAGAGAACUGUGUCGUCCCGUCUCAUCCUACUUUAAUAUCAAACCAAACACAUUAAUUUGUAGUAUCAGAUGUUCAAGUACACGUGGAUGGUUUUCGAUGUAAACCGCUCGCGAUGCUAUUUGAUCUGAUCGUUGGUUCUUAUUGAAGAAACAAGAAUGGGAUCAGCGGUAAUGGUAGGUCAUCGUAUCCUAUUUCUGGUGCUAUAAUCUCUACUAUUUAUUAAGGCUGCAAGAGUAGUCUACAAUUCCGUGUUCUGCCACCAUUCUCUUCUCCCCGCAUGUUAUGGCAUUCCCUGUUCUGCCUUUCUCAUUCUCCCUCCCCGCAAAACUCAUUCCAAUUCUCAUUCCCACGUACAACCCACGUCUAGAUAUUCCGUGUUCUGCCACCAUUCCCUCCUCCUUGCAUGUUCUGUCAUUCUCUGUUCUGCUUUUCUCAUUCCCCUCCCCGCAAAGCUCAUUCCAAUUCUUAUUCCUACGUACAACCCACGUCUAGCUAAAAUUAAAAAACACAAAUGACCCUAAGGAGAUUCGAACCCGCGACCUCUCAGACAAAUGCAAGCAGCUACACCACAUGUGUGUUUAUGUCUACAUCUAUGACAGGAAAAACAUCUACUAUAUCUCUCCCCAAGUCUACCCUACUACCCUUGCACAAUGCGUAGUAGUAGAUAAGUAUCAUCGAGAUUCUUGAAUUAUAUUUUUAGAUGGAAUGAGUAGUAUUUAAAGAAGAGCCUUGCAUGCAAUUUCUUUUGUUUGAAUAAUGUUUUCAACUUAAAUUCUUUUUUUGCAUGUGUGGCAUUUAUUCUUCAUAAUAUUUUUUUUCAUGGAUCUCACUUGUGAGUCAUUUUCAUAAACCAACACCAAGGAUGAAUCCAUGUUUCUUGCUUGGAAACCCCGAACAAACACCAUUAGCAGGAGGCGCUCACGUUGGCGUCGCUCAUCGACGACGAGAAGAAGCUUGACGACUGCCAGUUUGACCUCUAGAAGCAGUCCUACGUGGCCGCAUGAGCUGUUGUGCAUGACAAGCUCCGCCGCAGCCGCCGCUUGAACUCGGUCCAGAGCGACUGCACCGCGUUGUCUAUCGUCAAGCAGGGGGACCUCAUGGUUGUUGCCAACGUCGGCGACUCUCAGGUUGUUCUGGGCACCGCAUCCAACGACGGCGCCAUCACGCCGUCCAGUUCAUCGUCCAUCUGAAGCGCAACCUGCCAUGUAAGUCGCUACUGACCGGCCCAUAAAUUCUUGUGCGCUCGAACGAUGGUCGUUGUUGACGUUGUGUGAGUGUCCUCGAACAUGAUGUAUGUAGAGGAGUAGCGCAUCCGGUGGUGCAACGACCAGAUUUACUACCUUGCUAAUGAGCCCGAGGUGCACUUUUUCUGGCAGCCCAGCCAAGAGUCAUCGGUACUCGACAUGUUGCUCGCGUUCGACGACUACUAUAUCAUGGACUGUGGCGUCAUCUCGGCGCCGGAGGUGACACAGAGGAGGACCGACAGCAAUGAUCAGUUCGUCAUCCUCACCACCAUCGGGGUAGCUUUUUGUGCUGGUCUGCCUUUAAUUCUCUUCGCAAAAACACACAAUUGUUUUUUGUUUGAGUAAGCGCGUAUGGUGGUACAUGCCUGAUGACUGACGAUGUACGAGGAAACUUCUUCUGGCAGGCGUGGGGUGUGCUCUCCAAUGAUGAGACCAUGGAAAUCGUGGCAUAUAUCGAAGUCGGUAUGAUACUGAUGGUUGCAAUGUAGUGGUGAAACAAUUAGAUUAAAACAACAAAAUUUAUGUAUGACCAGAAUCACAAAUGAAUUAUGAAACAUUUUCUCAUAAUAGUAUAACACACAUUUUGUAUAUAAGUUACCGUAGUAUUAUAUGUCCCCGUUGCAACGCACGGGCACUCACCUAGUAUACAUGAAGUAUAUAGGAGAAGUCGUUGAAUGACUGUGCUCGAGUGAGUCGUUCCAACCCUAAGAUCCUAUAUAUCUAUCGCUACAUCAGCUAUCGUUCUAUCUAUAUCUAACAUCAUCAGCAUUUAUAUGCUACACUCUAGUGCACAGUUUUUAUCAUUUACAACUACCUCGAUGACACAUCAAAUUCUUUUACAGACUCUUAUCUAAAAUGAAACAACGUUUUAUUAAAAUAAAAAUCCAUCUUAGUAUAUAAUUAAGCAAAUAAAAAUUAUAUAGUUCAUAAAAAUUACAAAUUACGUAGUUUAUAAACUGUAAAUAAAACUAAUAUAAUUCAUAAAACAUAAAAUACGUAAUAUAUGAAAAUAAAAGUUACGUAAUUCAUAGAGAUAGUUUGUAGUUUUUUUGUAUUUAGUUUUUAACAUAAAAAAACAAAGUUGACUAAUUAAAGAUGACAUAUUGGGAGCAGGCGUUAGUAUCGAUCUAUACCGACCGAUCCAGGUCAAUACCAACCUUCUGUUGCACCAGUCGAUAUCUAUCGACCAAUUCCGGUUGUAAUGCAAACACUACCGACCAAUAAGGAUGGUCGAUUUAGCACCGAUCGGUGAGGCGAACCUACGCGUGCCCGAACCAUGAGAGUUGAUAUCACCUUUGCAUAGUCGACAUGGUCUCCCACCAACAACAGUCUAAGUGGAGUGUUUAUGGAUUAGGACCUUAAUUUUUGGAGGCUCGGUGUGCCCAAUAUAUGAGCGACAAUUCUAGAGCAACAAUUGAUUACCCCAUAAACACAAAAUCUCACCAUCUUCACCGGUAUCUAGGGAUGGCAACCGGGUGGGGUUGUGAGGCCGCCUAGUUCCCCGAAACUUAUUUUCUGUCCCCGUCCCAUUUAGUUUAACGGGACAAACUCAUCCCUAUCCUCAUCCCCACGAAUCUCAGUUCCCCAUUUGAGACCGUGGAGAAAUACUAUAACACAAAAAAAAAUUUAUUGUGUGAUAACAAUUAUAAAUAUAUCAAUUUUUAGAAGAUAAUAAGACAAAUAAAUCUGAAAUAGAUCCUUAUAAUACAAGUUAUAACUCACAAGUCACAAUUAUUUUAACUUAGUAAUAGUCUCCUACUCUUACAAACCACAAUACAUAAAUACACAAAGUUUUUUUAUCAAGUUCCUGAUAUUAAAGCCCAAUGGGGUAGUUUCUUUCUCGUGCCCCGCCCCAUUAGCUCCACGGAGGAAACGAUUAAAGGGGUUAAAUAUUUUUUAUUUGGUUUUAACUAAUAAAGGAUUUAGGGCAUGUUUGGUUUGUGGCUAAAUGUGUCACACUUUGCCUAAGGUUAGUCGUUCGAAUUGAAUAACUAACCUUAGGCAAAAAAAGUUAGACAAAGUGUGGCAAUUGAGGUAGGCAACCAAACAUGUCUUUAAUUUCCUCAAAUCCUCUUAUUCCACUUCUAAUCCAACCCUAUGUCCGAAGGCCGGACCAGUUUCCACGUGGAAGUUGGGCUCGGACUGGGCCAUCAUCCCACACGGAGCCGAUUUACAAACAAGACAGAGCGGUAGUCCGUGAAAGCUUCUCACGUAGGCUGAAAACACCGGGAAAAUAGUAAACUCUCCGUGAGGAUUUAAGCUUCCAAACUAGUGUUUACUAGUAACGUGCGCGUGCCCCGCACGCGUAUAGAUAAAAGUAAUAUAAGUGGUAAGAAUAACAUAUUGAGUGAGGUAGUUAAGCAAUUAGAGUAUAAACUGCAAAUGAGUAUACUCAAAAUGGAACCUUGACCUCGAAGGAGCAAACAAUAAUUGGAUUAUUGUCGUGUACAUAUAGAAAGACCAAUAUAUGUGAAUAUAUACAUUUAGAAGUGGUAGAAUUAUUAGAAUAGGCACGUGUCUGCAGUAUUAGAACAUUGGUUUUGAUGUUCUGAGUAUAUGAUAAAACUUCUGUAACUCAAGAUGAAGCCAAACACACUAACAAAACAACAAUCUUUUGUCCAGGCACGAAAUGGAGUAAUAUGAUAGUAUCUAAAGGAGUAAACUCAAAAUGGAAAUUCGAAGGAGCAUCAUCUAAUAAAGAAUCCAAAUCGAGUGGUGACAUCAUAUUAGCACAUGUAGACCAUAUCUGUUUCUAUUGGAGGAGGAAUGAGAAUAAUGUAGUAGUACUAAUGGCAAUAAUAAAGGUAGUAAUAAUAAAAAUAACAUUAGUGGCAAUAAUUAAAGUCAUCAGCGCUUGCAUUUGAUCGUUGCUUAAUGAGCAGCGGCCGCACGUUAGGAAAUGUAUAUAUAUAUAUAUAUAUAUCAAUGUGUGAAGGAUCGUUGAUUGAUAUUGAAUCUGUUUGUAUACGCCAUUGUAUAGUUUGUAGAAGCUGAUUUCAUAUGUAAUCUGGUACCACAAUUAAUAAUUAAGUAGAUAAGAUUAGCAUGGGUUGUCUAUGAGAAUGCAGCAAGGGAAGCAAGCUAAUGUGGGGAUAAAUAAAUGGACAAACAAUAGAAGGGGAAGGAUCGUUGCUUUGAAUAUUGAAUUCGUAUGUAUACGACACUGUGCAAUUAGUAUAAUCUGAUUUUAAUGUGUAUAUGUGUAAUCAUGCAUAGAUUAUUUAUGAGGAUGCAGCAAGGGUAAUGGACAAACUUAAGGAUAAAUAAAUGAAAAAAUAAUAGAUAGAGGGAAGGGUGUUAGAUGGAUGUACGUGCUAUCGUCGGCGUUGAAAUCUUUAGGAGAUUGGAUAUAUAUCCACCUGACAUGGUGAGCAUGUAGAAUCGAACAGAAAAUCAAAAAGCAUCUAGAUACUAAUAUGCUUAAACAAAUUUUGGUUGAAUGCAAGUGGUGAACGCUCACUGUUGAUAACUAUAGGAAUGUAGAUACAUUUUUUUAAAUCUAACAUUAGUUGACCUUACCUCUUGUUGUCGGUGUUGCGAGUGCCGAGAAAUUGGAGAUGUAUUUCUAUGGUGUGAUGAGGCGACAUGCUGAAACGAUUAGGAAACAUGUUAGCAAGUGGCUACUAAUCUUUGCAAACAAAUUAUAGAAUAACGCAUUUGUUCAACGUAUGCAGACGACAACAUGUAACAUGGCCGAUUUGGUCGGACUAUAAAGUGUUUGCCUCGGGAACAAAAGCUAAGAAUACCAACAAUGACAUAUGGUGAAGGUCCAGUUGAUGAGCAUUUCUCCUUCACCAAAGCAGCAUGUUUUUACGCUAGAUCUGCACCCACAGGAAGAUGUUUCACAUGGUAGGUUAAAAAGUACAUAAACAUGGAUAAAUCACACAGUAAGUUGCAUCGAAAACCAGAACCAGUCUCACAAUUUUGCUUCAUCAGGACACGAGCCAAUAAAAAAGAAAGAAAGAAACCAGAUGGGAGAGAAAGAGUGUGCAUUGCAUUGCACCGAGGGAGGGAGGAGAGAUAGACGGUUGGCGUGGCUGUGACAACCGUUCUCUUUGUGUUUGCUUUGCUUCCGUUGCAGAUAGAGGAGGCAAAGCGUUGUGGCGGCCGAGCAUGUGUUAGGGAAGAGAAUCUUUAAAGCCACACACGACAGUGGAGCUCGUUCGCUCGACCAUCUGGUGCGUGCAGUGCCAUCAUGUUCCAAACCCACAGCAUCGAAUUCUCCUCGCUCUUGGCCUCUCUCGGCUCUCCGGUCUGCGCUCUGGGCCUCUGCCUCUUGGCUCUUUGAUAGAUAGUUCAGAUUGAGAUCAAAUCUGAAUAUCUGGAUGAUCUCCUGGAUGGCCGGAUGAGAAUGAGGAUGACUGGAUGAGUCUAUUUGGGGGCUACCAACUGUUUCCCUUCCAGUCCACUUGGAGGCUACCAACGACCUGUCUGCCUCCUUGAGAUCUUGAGGAUUAGAGAGACAUGGUUAGAAAACUUUUCGUACCUGGGUGAGCAGACGAAUAAUGGGUAUUCGAACUCAUGGAGCAGGAGGGUCACGACGCGGCGACCGUCAGCACUGUUGCUCUCGCCGACGGGGAC
rnacentral:lncRNA from 1 species